GAUGAACGCUGGCGGCGUGCCUAACACAUGCAAGUCGAGCGAUUUACUUCGGUAAAGAGCGGCGGACGGGUGAGUAACGCGUGGGUAACCUGCCCUAUACACACGGAUAACAUACCGAAAGGUAUGCUAAUACGAGAUGACAUAAGAGAUUCGCAUGGAUUUCUUAUCAAAGCUUUUGCGGUAUAGGAUGGACCCGCGUCUGAUUAGCUAGUUGGUAAGGUAACGGCUUACCAAGGCGACGAUCAGUAGCCGACCUGAGAGGGUGAUCGGCCACAUUGGAACUGAGACACGGUCCAAACUCCUACGGGAGGCAGCAGUGGGGAAUAUUGCACAAUGGGCGAAAGCCUGAUGCAGCAACGCCGCGUGAGCGAUGAAGGCCUUGGGUCGUAAAGCUCUGUCCUCAAGGAAGAUAAUGACGGUACUUGAGGAGGAAGCCCCGGCUAACUACGUG
rnacentral:rRNA from 1 species